CCCUGAAUCAACUGUUCUAAUACUGUUUUGACAUCCUGUGCAUGAGAGUGACCAGGCAAGCAGCAGCAUGCCAAUCCUGAUUCAGCUCAUGACUUCUAUGAUCAUAAGGACUGCUUAUGUUUCUGCAGUCUCAGAAGAUAGCUGGAGGCUCCUAAGGAAAACAUGUUAUGCAGAAGGGAAAUCCACAUGACUGGAUCACUAGAAGGGUUCCCCAUCAUGAAAAAAGGAAAGUACCGGAGCUCACUUCAGACUGAAACAUCUGCAGACACUAGCAGAAUCACUUUGGCUUCUGACUUCCACUCCUUCCUUUUGGACUUCAGUAAAAUGUGCAGCAGUAAUGAUCCUACACAAAGGAAGACAAUGAUAUAGGUUAAUGCUACCAAACUUUAUACAUUAAAUUAAAGCGAGUAAGUUAAGAAUGUGCAUGUCUCAUACUCUGAUAAAGUUGAUGAAAACUGUAUCUGGAUUACCUUUUGUUUUUGGUCUAGGAUAGUGAUAAAGACUAAGUUUUGCUCAUUCAGUAUCUAUGGAGAUCUUGUGUGGCACUAGUGAGUCAGCUAUGAUAGCUAUGGUUCAGAAAUGUCACCAGAUGCCAAAAUAGACACCAUAUCUUCUAGAGAAAGAACCUUGCUCUUCUUAACUGCAAGGUUAGUUAAAGAGCUCGCAAUCUAUAUUUUAGUUUGAAAUGAGGAUCUACAUUUUGAUUCCUGUCUAAAACUUAGCCUACAAGUUUCUAAAAAAUAAGGAAAAAAUGUGAAUCAUAAUUUAUUUUGUACAUACUGCGGUAAAUGAAACUGAUGGAAACUAAAAUCUUUUUAAAAUGCAAAUGGUUAAACCAGUCAAUGUACAUCUUUCUUCAGAGUCUAGGGACUGCUGGAUUGGAUUUUGUUACAGUUCUAUAUAAAGUGUUGUAUACUUCAAGUAGAAGAAAUAACCAUUGUCUAUAUUUGAUCUUUAACUAUAAGCACUUGAAAGAAAUCCUGGGAGUUACAAAUAGGAUGUUACGUAAACAUCUGUCAUCAGAAACCAAGAAUUUACAAAGAAGAUGAUAGAAACAAAUACCAAAGUGCUAGGAACUGAACAACAUAAUUGUAGAUUUUCUAUAUGGACAUAGCUCUAGCUACCUAAUCUCAUCAUAUAUAACAGAAACAGACUUUAAACAAAACUCCAGAGAAAAGAGAAAUACAUUCAAGGAUUUGGUAUGUGGGAAUUAUCUAAAUUGCAACAAGAAUAACUAAUGGAUGAGUUAGCUACUGGGGGAAAAAAAAAAAAAAAAA